rnacentral:rRNA from 1 species
UGAGCUUGAUCAUGGCUCAGAUUGAACGCUGGCGGCAGGCCUAACACAUGCAAGUCGAGCGGUAGAGAGAAGCUUGCUUCUCUUGAGAGCGGCGGACGGGUGAGUAAUGCCUAGGAAUCUGCCUGGUAGUGGGGGAUAACGUUCGGAAACGGACGCUAAUACCGCAUACGUCCUACGGGAGAAAGCAGGGGACCUUCGGGCCUUGCGCUAUCAGAUGAGCCUAGGUCGGAUUAGCUAGUUGGUGAGGUAAUGGCUCACCAAGGCGACGAUCCGUAACUGGUCUGAGAGGAUGAUCAGUCACACUGGAACUGAGACACGGUCCAGACUCCUACGGGAGGCAGCAGUGGGGAAUAUUGGACAAUGGGCGAAAGCCUGAUCCAGCCAUGCCGCGUGUGUGAAGAAGGUCUUCGGAUUGUAAAGCACUUUAAGUUGGGAGGAAGGGCCAUUACCUAAUACGUGAUGGUUUGACGUACC